rnacentral:rRNA from 1 species
AGCGAACGCUGGCGGCAGGCCUAACACAUGCAAGUCGAGCGCCCCGCAAGGGGAGCGGCAGACGGGUGAGUAACACGUGAGAACAUGCCCUUCGGUUCGGAAUAACUCAGGGAAACUUGAGCUAAUACCGGAUACGUCCGUAAGGAGAAAGAUUUACUGCCGAAGGAUUGGCCCGCGUCUGAUUAGCUAGUUGGUGGGGUAAUGGCCCACCAAGGCGACGAUCAGUAGCUGGUCUGAGAGGAUGAUCAGCCACACUGGGACUGAGACACGGCCCAGACUCCCACGGGAGGCAGCAGUGGGGAAUAUUGGACAAUGGGCGCAAGCCUGAUCCAGCCAUGCCGCGUGAGUGAUGAAGGCCCUAGGGUUGUAAAGCUCUUUCGGCGGGGAAGAUAAUGACGGUACCCGCAGAAGAAGCCCCGGCUAACUUCGUGCCAGCCGCCGCUGUAACAC